UACGUAGGUGGCGAGCGUUGUCCGGAUUUAUUGGGCGUAAAGCGCGUGCAGGCGGUUCGUUAAGUCCGGGGUGAAAGCUCCCGGCUCAACUGGGAGAGGUCAUUGGAUACUGGCGGACUCGAGGGAGGCAGAGGAAGGUGGAAUUCCCGGUGUAGUGGUGAAAUGCGGAGAGAUCGGGAGGAACACCAGUGGCGAAGGCGGCCUUCUGGGCCUUUCCUGACGCUGAGGCACGAAAGCUAGGGGAGCAAACAGG
rnacentral:rRNA from 1 species